GUGUCCAUAGUUUAGUGGUAAAACUCCGCUCUGUGGAAGCGGCGUCGAGAGUUCGAUUCUCUCUGGACACC
rnacentral:tRNA from 1 species